AAGGUAGUGUUCACAUCGAACUAACGGCGGAGCUCGCAAUUUUUUCGGUUCGAGCCGGACGAUCCCGAAAAGGGCCGCACUUAAAUAAAAGUCGUGGAUAUGAAACCGGUUCCGAUGUUGAUUAUUCCCAAAGUGCUGGUGGAUGGGGCGCGGUCGGUGUCUUCACUCUCGUAUGAAGUGAGGAAAGAACUUGAAACACUAGUGCUACGUAAUGCUUCCUAGAAUAUUUGAGACGUAGUUAGUGUAUUGCUCAUAAUGCUCAUUUUAUUACAUACAUUUGUUAUUGUAAAUGUACGGACAAAACCCAAGGUCAGUGCGAAACUUUCGCUCCUGGAAGUACAUAAUAGACACAGGCGUUUGAGCACAAAUUGUUCCCAUACAAAAACGCCCACUUGGACGCCAACGAUCUAUUGAAGUACGGUGAAGAGAAACAGCGUCGGUGGAGCGGCGAGGGGUGAAGAGUGAGGGGGAUUUACUCACUUCAAUAUAAUAUAACAUAGCAUGGAAAUGCUUGUUGCAAAUUUUUAAGAAAAUAAUGUACGAGAUAUGACAAGUAAUUUUAAUACCAUAUAACUACUGCCCUAUAAAGUUAGAUUUUUUCACUUCGGACAAUUUAACCCACAGCAAAAACUACCUAAGUACCUGAUUGCAGCGAGUGUCGAGCGAUAUUUCCUCGGCGGGAUUCGGUGAUGGAUGUACUGCAUCUCAACCGCACACUACUUAUUCCUAAAACUAGUUUUAGAGGAAUUUGUAUGUACUUUUUAAUAUAUAACACAUUUGGCAAUUCUUUUAUACGAUGUGAAAUGAAGCGCGCGCCGGAUUUGCCUAUUUGCGAGGUAAAAUUUCGACGAUAUUUGAGUUAUUUGAUUAGAUCUAAUCCAGGUAGGAUUAGAUCUAAUCAAAUAAUUAUUUUGUUGUUAUUUGCAUUGACAGAUUAGAAUGAAACGUUGUAAUAAUAUAUUGAAAUGUAAAAAAAUAUUGGUUGCGUUACCUUUUACGUAAUAGUUAUGUAUUUAGAGGUAUCGGCAGUUCGCAGUCGCAGGUCGACGCCGAAUGUAAUAAAAUAUAUUAGGACAAGAUUUA